rnacentral:rRNA from 1 species
CGACUUGGAGGUUGUUCCCUUGAGGAGUGGCUUCCGGAGCUAACGCGUUAAGUCGACCGCCUGGGGAGUACGGCCGCAAGGUUAAAACUCAAAUGAAUUGACGGGGGCCCGCACAAGCGGUGGAGCAUGUGGUUUAAUUCGAUGCAACGCGAAGAACCUUACCUACUCUCGACAUCCAGCGAACUUGGCAGAGAUGCCUUGGUGCCUUCGGGAACGCUGAGACAGGUGCUGCAUGGCUGUCGUCAGCUCGUGCUGUGAAAUGUUGGGUUAAGUCCCGCAACGAGCGCAACCCUUAUCCUUUGUUGCCAGCACGUCAUGUUGGUAACUCAAAGGAGACUGCCGGUGAUAAACCGGAGGAAGGUGGGGAUGACGUCAAGUCAUCAUGGCCCUUACGAGUAGGGCUACACACGUGCUACAAUGGCGCAUACAAAGAGAAGCGACCUCGCGAGAGCAAGCGGACCUCACAAAGUGCGUCGUAGUCCGGAUCGGAGUCUGCAACUCGACUCCGUGAAGUCGGAAUCGCUAGUAAUCGUGGAUCAGAAUGCCUCGGUGAAUACGUUUCCCGGGCCUUGUACACACCGCCCGUCACACCAUGGAGUGGGUUGCAAAAGAAGUAGGUAGCUUAACCUUCGGGAGGGCGCUUUACCACUUUGUGAUUCGGGACUGGGGUGGAAGUCGUAAUCAAGGACC